AGAGAAGAGAGGGAAGUUGAUUCAUGUUGUGGUCCAGGGCCAGCCCAGGGCUGGCCGAAGGCGACCAAGGCGGUCGCCUUGGGCCUCAGAUUUUAGAGGGCCUCACAUUUUGAGGCCCAUAGGGGAUGGAUAAAAAAUAAAAAUAAUAAAAUAAAAAUAAGUUAAGGCAAGUUUCAGAUGACACAAUCUGCUUCGACACUCCGCAGGGCGCAGCCUCCGCUAUCGCCUCAGGUGACAGGGCAUCACAUUUGAAAGUUUGCCUAGGGCCUCUCAAAAUAUUUGGAAUCUCAGGGCCGGCCCUGUUGUGGUCUCACUCAGGAGGAGGAGGAAAGAUAGAGAUUUUCUUAGUUCGGAAGCGGAAGCUGUAAGAAAUCUUAGCCUCCAUUUCUAGGUGAAGCAGUAAGGAAGGAACGCAGGGCAUGGAAAGGAAAACCCUAACCUCAAUCCUCGUGUAAGGUGAAGAAAGAAGGAAGAGGGUGCAGGGGCAAGGAGGAGAAGAGAAUCUCUCUUCACUGUCUAACUGUUACGGUUAGGGUGGUGGCGGUUCUGAGCCUCUAAGAGUCAUGCCUCCUCAAUCAUUAGGUUUACUCCAGGGAAAGAGCUCACUGAAACGAGUGGAAUCGGAAAAUAGAAUCGUUCAUCACGCCGUGUUUGGUCAUUACAUCAGAACAUGUAUGUUUCCAAACUUCAACGCAAUUACUUCGUCAAGAUUUUACAAUUGGUUCUAUGAACAAGGGUUGAACAAAAGUUUAAGAAAAGAAGGGUUGUUGCAGUAUGGUAAUGUUGAUUUGGCUAAGCCUUCCCAAUUCAAAUACAUUACUAAUACAUUACUGUUAUUGACUUUAUGUGGAUGCACAGUAGAGUCCCUCAAGGCAAAAGAGGUACGAUGUAUUUGAAUAUGCUUAAGGAAUGUAUUCACGUUUUGGACAAAUCUAUUAGGUCAACGCUGAAAAACCCCGUGGUAGUUUUAAUUUGGAUAGCUCCACCCAAGGGAUGGUACAAGCUGAAUAUUGAAGUCUUUUGUAAAUAAAGAGACUGAUGGUACCAUAAGAGGGAGUGCGGGAGGAGUCCUCCGAAAUCAUUUAGGACUUGUUACAAUAGUGCAUUUGAUUUCUAUUCCAAAUCUAGCUUCUAGAAAUGAAGUAUGAUUAGUUGGCAUUUGUCAUGUCGCAACAUGGCACGUACGUGGAGAAUAUAAUAUUGGAGGGUUCUGAUAAGAAUGUUAUUGAAGUGCUAAGGCGUAACAAGCAUGUACCACUGGAGUAUUCCCAACUUUAUAGGGAUAUUUUUGAUUUGCUAGCCCUAUUCAACAAGUAUAUAAUAGAGUUCGUAUAUCCGACGGGAAACGAAGUUGCCAAUUGAAUGGCAUAUUCAGUUAUACAACCGAAAGUCGAUUUAGAAUAUGAUAAACGGUAUGAUCAACAACUCAAAGAUGAUGAUAUUCAGAAGAGAGUACGAUUUCAUGAGCCUGGUUAUUGCCUAGAAAGAUUGCAAGUUGUCGAUGACCCUGAGAGUCUCGCAACCAUGUAUGAAAAUCGCUACUUGGAGAUGACCAUUGGGAGUUUAUUGACAUGAUUUAAUUGUUUGUAUAAAAUCUCUAGAGUACGAUUCUUCUAUUUUCUUCCAACACUGUGUAAGUGCAAUUCUAUAGUGCAUCAAAUUUGUGCACCAUUCUCUACAAGAAAACGGUCUUUACACCUUUUGUAUAUUUUUUGACAAAAAUGACUUACAGCAGAGACCUAAAUACUCGUAUAGAUCGUGAUUGUUGUAUUAUCUUCUUGUUGGUAAUAAUCUUUAUCUUUUCUAA